CUCUUCAGUAUUAUUACAAUACUCAGAUAGUAGAAGUUAAAAGAAAAAAAAAAUUGCCGAGACAUACCUUUUCUCCCUAAUUUCAGUCGACGCUCCUUUUCUUUUUGAUUCAAAGAUAGAACAACAAAAGCAGAAAGAUUAAUCUCAUGUCUUCUUCAUCUACAGGAGUUAUAAAAAGAGUAAAUGAUCUGUGAUAAGUUAACGACAGAGCACUGAUAUCUCAGAUCUUCGCAGAUGGUGUUAAGAAAAGAAACAAAAUGAAACAGAAGCUUCAAAACUUUGUAGAUUCACCGACGAUUUGACCAUCCCCUAUAUCUGCAGAGCUGAAGGCAAAAUCUUGAGAAGAAAGAUGAGUCCGACUCUUCAAAGCAGUUAGAAAGCUCUAUGAAAUCCUUAAAACGAAGAUAUCAGGUUAACCAGUAGGAAGCGUUCGUGUGUGAAAUAAAGCUCCAAUAUUUGGAAGAUAAAGCAUUGAAGGAUCCCUGAAGGCUUUUUGAAAGUGUUGUUGUGGUUUGGCUUCAUCCUAAUUGUGGUAUUCAAGAACUUGAAAGCCAGUAGGCCCAGUACAUUGCACGGAAAUCCGAAGGCUCUACCGGGAGAUUGCUUAGUGCACUUCAAAUCUUUCAAUAUCAUUCCCGUGUUGAACCCUUUCUCAAACUUCAGGUGAGAUACCAAUCAAAGAUCACUGCCUUUACUCUCAAUGUAUAUGAUUUGAAAAUUUUUUUGCAAGGCAAAGAUUUGGAGAAGAGCUUCAAGGUGAAUGAGAUGGUAUAUUUGGUAAUGGGCUGGGAUUAGAAUUAGUAUGUGCUGGGAUAUUGAAUUGAUUAAGCAGAUGAUAUCUACAUAGUGGGUUUGCAUAUAUUGUUUUCGAAGUUUUUUUUUUUAAUAGUUUGAUGGGCUUUGUAAGGGGACGAAAUUUUUUUUAAAAAAGAAGGAGAAGACAGUGGUA